rnacentral:lncRNA from 1 species
AACUUUGCUUUUCAAACUAAAGUACCCCAGGUUUUCUCCUUUCAUUUCAUAGAUAUUCGUUUUCAAAUCUUCUAAUGCCUAACACAUAGCACCACUUUGACAUUUAAUAAAUGACAACUUGGCUUUUAAAGUAGAAAAGUAGAAUCAAAGUUAGAUAGCUAACAGACACUGGCAGAGGUGUACACUAGGAUAAUAGCUAUGAAAAUGUGGGUCAGUUAUUUUACAGAAUAUCCUCUGAAACAUUUUGUAGUCUGUAUGCUCAAUUUGUAGUAUAACUUUCAAGUGAUAUCUAUUUAGGAAAAUCAAUAAUUUUAGAUUUUACUGUAGGCAGAUAAAGAAAAAUGAAUAAACUUGAAAUUUAAAAUUUGGCAGUAGGCUAUAAAAAUUUAAGUGCAGAAUAUCAUAAUUAAAAUUAACCUCGUCUGGCCUGUGACAAGUAGAAAAUGGAAGCACUUUAUUCUUAUAUGAGUCAUAUUUAAAGCAAAAUAAGUGUUCUACAAUAUUUUCAUUUCUAAUACUAAAAUUGCUGUUAUUUUAAUAAUAAUAAUAGAUAGCAAAACUGUAUUGAGACCUUAUUUUGUGGUAAACACAUUGAGUAUCAAUUAUUUAAACAUCACAAAAGCCUUACUAGGUGGAUAUAUUUUUAUCCCCAUUUUCCAAGAAGGAAACUGAGACAUAGACAUCAAAUUAUUUGCUUAUGGUUUCAGAGCCAGCAAACUCUAAGUUAAUAUUUGAACUCAAAAUAGCAUCAGAGCUGAAGUUCUUACCUACUGUAAUGUAUCUAGUGUUUUUGAUCACUUAUAGGGGUUUUUUUGGCCAUGCCUGCAGCAUAUAGAAUUUCUCAGGCCAGGAAUUGAACCUGUGCCAUAGCAGAGACUCAAGCUGCUGCAGUUAACAAUGCCUGAUCCUUAAACUGCUGUGCCACAAGAAAACUCCUAUGAAGAUUUUUUAUUUUUUAAAUUUUUUACAGUAUAUUUGACUUACAGUGUUGUAUCAAUUUCUGCUGUACAGCAGAAUGAUCCAAUCAUACAGAUAUAUAUACCUCCAUUUUCUUCUUCUUCUUUUUUUUUUAUUUGCAGGGCUGCAGGUAAGCCAUAUGGAAGCUCCCAGACUAGGGAUCAAACUGCAGCUGCCGGCCUAUGCCACAGCCACAGCAAUAGCAGAUCUGAGCGCAUCUGCAACCUGCACCUAUGCUGUAGCUCAGGGCAACGCCGGAUGCUUAACCCAAUGAGUGGGACCAGGUAUUGAGCAUACAUCCUCAUGAAUACCAGUCGUGUUUGUUCCCACUGAGCCACAAUGGCAACUCCACCUUUGUUUUCUUUUCUUUUUUUUUCUUUUCUUUUCUUUUUCUUUUUCUUUUCUUUUUUUUUUUUUUUGGCUUUUUGCCAUUUCUUGUGCCACUCUCGCAGCAUAUGGAGGUUCCCAGGCUAGGGGUCGAAUCAGAGCUAUAUCCACCGGCCUAUGCCAGAGCCACAGCAAUGCAGGAUC